UAAAAAAAUAAGUUAAAAAUUACCCACUGUCCUUUGCUCGAGUGGCUAAAGAUUUGGUAGUUGGUAUUUGAGAGCUCACUUUCGAAUACUAGUUACUUUACAUUUUCAAUCAAAUUUAUUUCUAAAAAAAAAUUAACGUAGCGAAUCGUAUGUUAUCUUUUUCUCUCAAAAAAAUAAAAAAUCAAAAUGUUCAUUUCACUCAUAUUUUGAUAAACUUUUGGAGAGCAUGUUAGGAGCAAUAUAUAUUUUUGGAUUAAUUUCAUCCGUACCUGUCACACUCCAUUAAUUCCACAUCGGAUAGGAAUAGGAAUGUGAUUAAGUAUAUAAGAGACAUAAACACUAGUAAUAAUAACUGGGCUUAAGUAUUUUGGGCCGAUAGUUGGGCCCAAUGAGUUAUUAUUGCUAGUGGGCUGGAUCGUUACAUUUGGUAUCAGAGCCAGUUCACCAGUCGGAAAUGUGUGACGAGUCCCGGCUGAGUUAGGGGCAGGGUCUGGAUGAUAAGGCUAGCGAGACGAGUCUCACAUCCCCUGGUGAUCUUGGGCUGUGUGUAUGAUUGGACUGAUGAGAACGUCAGGGUCUUAUAAAUCCCACUGGUGAUCAUCCCACGGGUGAUCCUGGGCUGUUUGUGUGAUUGGACUGACGAGAGCGUCAGGGCCUUAUUAAUCCCACAUCAGAUAGGAAUGGAGAUGUGAUUGGGUAUAUACGAGACAAUGGGGAUGUGCUUGGGUAUUUAAGUCUCUAGUAAUAAUAACUAGGUUUAAGCAUUUUGGGCCGGUGGUUGGGCCCAAUGAGUUAUUAUUGCUAAUGGGCUGGGUCGUUAUAGUACCCUUCUAAAGUUAUAAAAUAUUAUAAAUAUCCCUACAAAUUUUGUUAUAUCAUAAUUAUCCCUCCAAAUACAUACUUUCUUUCAAAAAUGCCCUUGCAUUUAUACUUCGUCUAUUCAAGUUAUUUUGACCUUGAUUAGAUGGUGGUUUACCAAAGGCUAAAAUUUUAAAUACCUAUUUUGUCGUUGAGUUAGAACUUUUAGAGGGUAUAUUAAUAAUUAUAGUUUUUGUAUUUCUUCAUAUGUCUAUGUUAGUCAGUUUGUAUAUUAAUUUGCUAUGUUAUAGAUUGUAUUAACCAAUUCUCUUAAUUAUGAUGCUUUUAUCUCUAUCAAUUCUAAAUUCUACCAACAAAUAAACAUUAGAUAACAAAGUGGACUAUUUUGGUAUAUUUAUAAAAGACAAGAUGCAUAGUAAACAAUUAAAAAUAUUUAACAUGAUGAAAAUAAUAUCUUAUUUGAAUAUACUGAUCGAUACAGGAAUUCUGAUAAAAUGACUAACAUAGGUUUCAUAUCUAGAUCUAAAUCGUUAUCUUAAAAACCUAUAAUUUUUCUCUAACUAAGUGUCUUAUACAAUAUAAGUAUUACAUUAAAGAUCAACAACUUUAGAUAGAAUAUGAUUUUACAUUCGAGACGUGAGAUUCUUUGCUCAAUCGCUUUCUCCAAGUUUUCGAUCUGGUAUUUCAUGUCAAUCGUCGUAAACAAGUUUGAUGUGAAGCUUUUAAACUGAAGGGCAUUUAUAAAAAUUAUAAAAAGUCAGUGACCAUUGAACAUUUGAUAAGGACAAUUGUGAUAAGGGCAAAAUUGGUAUAUGGUUCCAUUAGUUAAAAUUUUAACGAAAAAUUAUUUUAAAGAUUACUUUUGAAAGUUUUUCAUAUAUAGAGGGAUAUUUACGAUAUUUCAAUUUUUAAAGGGUAUUUAUAUAAAUAUCAGCUUUUGAAUGGGCACUCAGGAAUUUUUUCCUAUAUUUUUCGUACUAAUUUAAUAACUUGUGGAAGUUGGUAAGACAUGUUUAUGAGAUUUUUCAAAUUUAAAGAACACUUAUGAAAGCUAUAUAUAAUUGACUAGUGAUGGUUGAGACACUUUAAUAGGGCGACCAUGAAAUAGAUGUUGACUAAAAGUUGUUUUGAAGGGCACUUUUAAAUGUUUUGUAUAAUUAGAGGGAUAUUUCGAACAUAUUUUAAUUUACAGGGGCAUCCAUCUAAAUAUAUAUUUUAUUUAUUCACAUAUUUUUAGCAUUAUAAAUAUUUUUAACUAAUUAAUUAUUACAUAUUUUAUAUAAAAUAAUUGUGAUUGAGAAAAUGAUUUUAGGUAUCACAUUAGAUGACACUUGAUAAUAAAUAUUGUAGCCCAGGAUUAAUAUGUGUAGUAUCCUUAAUUUUUCUUAUUUUUUAAUUUUUUUGUUGUUUUUGAGUUGGUAGACUAGGUAGUGGAUAAGGAUGUCACGUGCAACUUUAACCUCAUGCAUCCUUAUCAAUUUAGUUUAACUGAGGUGUACAUUUUUUUUUUUUAUUUGCUCUCUCUCUCUCUAGUUCUUGAGCUAUACGUAGAGGAGGAGCUCGAGUGGUGUGGAGUGUCGUCGACGUCGCGCCGCGGUGCCGUUCGAGAGUAUAUUCGUCGUCGUAGCAUCGCGAGGAGGCCGGCGAGGGUUCGAUUCCGUCGUUUUCGAUUUCGCGCCGGAUUGUGAUUUGCGUUUGAGGUGGGUUUAUCAUCGGAUUUCUUCUUCUAUAGCUUUAUUAGUCGACAUGUAUCGUUGGUGUUGCACGUUACUAUUGUUUAGUUCAAAUCCAUGGGUAUGCAUGUUUUAGACAUAUAAACUGAAUUUGAAGCAUGUUAUUAGUUAUUAUUAAUUAUACAUAUUGGAUUUGGAUUUGACAUAAGAGAAAACUAGCGUUCGGGACCUAUCAUAUGUUAAACUACCUGAUUUAGCCUUAGAGGCCGUUGUAUUUUUAUACUGUCGCAGUAUCCUUGUGGUGAGUACCCCAGAUAGUUUAGUUUACUGUUACGCUCGUGCUAGGAUGCUAAGCCUAUUUUUACAGUAGUGUUUACACUGCUCUGGACUAGUGAGUGCUGUAGUGGUUGACGGCGGACCCGAAUUUAAUUGUUUUGAUAUCAGAUUAUGCCGAGGGCACGUGACUAGUGGUUGAUAGUUCAGCAAGAUCCUAUUUACUUGACAUGAGCCUGUGAGAGCCAGAAUGAAAUGACAGAGACAGUAACUCGUGGGUCGCACCCGCGAAUGCCAUUCUGGAAUGAGGUUUCAGUGCGAUAAGUGUCGCAGUUUCUGUUGGAUAGUUCUUGAGCCAGCCACCCCCGGGGCGGUGUACGGCGUAGUGAGAUACAGGCAGGGUAGGCCCGUUUGGGCAGCUCGGGUGAUAGUGAGUGACUUUUACUUGGUUAGUGUAGAGCAUGCUAGUGUAGCAAUAUGUAGUUGUAGAUUGCUUUCCAGCUUUUUCCUACUAGCUCUGUUUCUUUCAGUAGACUUAGUUAGUGGACCGGUGAUGUUGAGGGCGAUACCCACUGAGAACUACUUGUUUUUACAGUAGUUCUCACGCCCAGUUAUUACCAUUGUUUUGCAGAGCCAUCGUCUUUGGCUGCUGCUGGUGUUGCCGAUUCUGAUCGUAGCAAGAGCGUCGCGAGUUAGAGCACUACCAGACGAGUCGUUGUGAUAGAGGAGCACUUGCUGCAGGUAGUUGUACUUUUAUUAUUUUUGAGUUCAUGUACGUACUGAUGUAUAACUCGCUGGAGCGAGUACUUUUGUACAGAGUUUUCUUGUAUGUAUAUGAGACUUACUUUGUUCUACCUAUUUAUUUUCUUUACAGCUCUAUACUACUGGUUGUAGUAUUGUAUGUAUUACUGUUCCAGCUACGCUUCGUAUACAGGAUAAAUUCUUUGUAUACGGCGGAUUUGUCGACGUGCCCGGGGAACGUGCUAAUCCGGGGCGUGACAAUAUGGGUGUGUAAUAAUACAUUUUAUUAUUACCUUGUUCAAAAGUAUAUAUAUAAAUAACUUAGUUAAUUUGCGAAUUAUUCGAAAACUCUUAAAAAUCCGAAUAAAACAGUCCGUAUGCGAUUUAUUCCUAAAAAUUUGGAAUAAAACAUGAAUUUUUUGGUUUAAAUUUAUUAUUCACAAAUAAUUCGUAUAUGCCGAACUAUUCGGCCAAAAAACACGCAAAAUUUUUAGAUAAAAUCCCUUCUCGAAUUAUUGUCGAAUUAUUUAUGAAUUAUUCGCGAAUUAUUGAAAAACUUUAUAAAUUUUCGG
rnacentral:lncRNA from 1 species